GUCCUCAUUUAGUCCUGGUUUAGUCCUGCUUUAGUCUUGGUUUAGUCCGUGUUUUGUCCUGGUUUAGUCCUGGUUUAGUCCUUGUUUAGUCCUGGUUUAGUCCUUGUUUAGUCCUGGUUUAGUCCUGGUUUAGUCCUUGUUUAGUCCUGGUUUAGUCCUGGUUUAGUCCUUGUUUAGUCCUGGUUUAGUCCUGGUUUAGUCCUUGUUUAGUCCUGGUUUAGUCCUGGUUUAGUCCUUGUUUAGUCCUGGUUUAGUCCUGGUUUAGUCCUGGUUUAGUCCUUGUUUAGUCCUUGUUUAGUCCUGGUUUAGU
ensembl:lncRNA